rnacentral:misc_RNA from 1 species
UUUCCGUAGGUGAACCUGCGGAAGGAUCAUUAUUGAAUAAACCUGGCUUGGUUGAUGCUGGUCUUUUCGGAGACAUGUGCACACCUUGUCAUCUUUAUAUCUCCACCUGUGCACCUUUUGUAGACCUGGAUUCAACUUUCCGAGGAAACUCGGUUGUGAGGAAUUGCUUAAUAGGCUUUCCUUGUUAGUUUCCAGGGCUUUGUUUUCAUAUACACCUUAAGAAUGUAACAGAAUGUCAUUAUUAGGCUUAAUUGCCUUAUAAACUAUAUACAACUUUCAGCAACGGAUCUCUUGGCUCUC